GUGGGUAUAGCUCAGUGGUAGAGUACCAUGCUUAGUAUGUACAAGGUCCUGGGUUCAAGUCCCAGUUUCUCCA
rnacentral:tRNA from 1 species